ensembl:ncRNA Y43F8A.7 ncRNA
CGCAUUUCCAGUGCCCUGGCGCAAUUCCAGUGCCUUGACGCAUUUCUAGUGCCUUGACGCAAUUUUAGUGC